AAUAAGUGUAGUUUUAGCACUAUUCAUGUUCAACAUUUGACCGUUCGUCUUAUUUAAAAAAAGAUUAUGAUUAGUAUUUUUUGUUGUUAUUAGAUGAUAAAACAUGAAUAGCACUUUAUGUGUGACUAAUUUUUAAAAUAUUUUUUAUAAAUUUUUCAAAUAAGACGGAUGGUCAAAGCGCUAAACAUGGAUCUUUAUGGCUGUAUUUAUU
rfam:Oryza barthii chromosome 3, whole genome shotgun sequence.